rnacentral:rRNA from 1 species
UACAGAGGGUGCGAGCGUUAAUCGGAAUUACUGGGCGUAAAGCGCGCGUAGGCGGUUUGUCGCGUCUGCUGUGAAAUUUCGGGGCUCAACCCCGAACUUGCAGUGGGUACGGGCAGACUAGAGUGUGGUAGGGGCAGAGGGAAUUUCCGGUGGAGCGGUGAAAUGCGUAGAGAUCGGAAAGAACACCAAUGGCGAAAGCACUCUGCUGGGCCGACACUGACACUGAGAGACGAAAGCUAGGGGAGCAAAUGGG